CACACUUUCAUUUUCUUUAUUUUUCAUUGAUACCGUAUGAAUACAAAGUUUCUAGAAAGCUACAAAAUGUCUACCACUUUAUCAAGAAGGCAUCAAAAUGUGUCACUUUGCAAAGACAUGAAAACACCUGCAGGAAACUGACACAAAAAUAGCAUUUUUAGAGUGAUGAAAUAAUUGCACUUAACUGUCAUGGAUAUUAAAGUUAUCACACAUAUGUACCGCGAAAGCUAGAAUACAUUUGUUUUGUUUUUACAAAGCACUUUAUAAAAAAAUUCUCUGCACACAAACCCUAUAAUUUUCAUAUAACUAUCAUACUAAAGAUAAAUUCACUUUAAAGCCAACACUUAGAACAUUUUUUUAAACAAAAGGUACCAGUACCUAAACACAAACAUUAAUGAAUACAAUACUGUACUGCCCAGAGGUUUAACCAAAUGCCUUUCAAAAGUUUCUGCAAAUGGGUUAAGAAAUCGUGUGUGAAUCUGCCCACCCCUUGCUCAUUUCUCUAAUCUCCUUAAGAGGAACCCGUUACCCAGAGGUGAGUUCCCACCCGGUCCCAGCAGCAGUACAACAUUAAAGGAACCAGAUGAAACGCUACGCCACAAGCCCAUUAAGCACGCCACGAAGACAAGAGAAAACCAUUAAGUUCUUGAGAAUGUGGACAAAUAUAUGUGGCAAAAACCAACUCACAUAAAACUUGAACAAUAUUAAAGAAGUAAAGGCUAUUCAGGUUUUUAAAAUGUUACAAUUUUUUUGUUAUUUUUUUAGGCACGUACUAUUUUUGUUUUUGAUUUUUUCCUUGUCUGUAGUCAUAAGCCCAUUGAAAAAGGCCAAGAGAAGUCAAUAUUUCCAGGAGGUAACAGGGAGAUGUACAUGGGUCAUUUAAAGAAGUGUGGUUAUUAUUCAAUUUAUGCAGUGAAAUUAAUCACAGAAAAAUGAUUAAUGGGAACAAAAAACCCUAAGGGAUUAGUUUCCAAUUGGCUGACAGCUGGUUUCUGUCCGCCUCUCCUGGAAGGAGGGGAAACAGAAUAAGCUCAUUGGAAGGUCAUAAAAGUCAGCCUGAGCCAGAUGGAAUUCUAAUGGAAUCUGACCCAGUGUAGUGAUGAAUGAGAGAAGAAGGAAAUGUUGCUUCCAACAGUAAAAUGAUGUAUAUAUAGCGUGGCAUUCAGUGAUUCACUGCAAGUUCAGAGUAAAAUGAGCAAGGGCUUAGGAAGUACAACAAUAAAUAAAAUAUUCUAUAUGACUGAACAAGGCAUGGCUUCAGUGAAGCUACUGUUUGCAAUGCAGUAAAAUUUCAACAGAAAACCUUCAUUCUUAAUGACGAAAGCAAAGCACUAAUGAGAGAAAACCAGUGCCAAACAAGACAGGGACAACUGGAAAGAGAAGCAGGGACACAUGCAUGUGACUAAUUUCUUCCAAGUUGUGGGACCAUUCUGAUAGUGAAAAAUCAAAACUUCAAGCAGCUAACUAUAACAUAGGCUGAGUAAUUUUCCUUUUCAUUUGAUAGUGUAGUUUUCUUUUAACAGAACUCUUAUAAAUACAACAUGGGAGUGGAGGCAAGAAAUCACUCCUGAAAUUUCAGAGCCCAGAGAAGCUAUUCCUAAAGACACAGGUAAAGACUGAACACAGGUAGCUAUUCCUAAAGACACAGAUAAAGACUGAACACAUGUAAGUAAGUUUAGAGGUUAACUUUCAGAGUUGUUUGAUGUCAUUUUUACAUCUAUAUUAGCAAAGAAAAGUCGUUCCUGGCUUCUCUUUGGCUGGUGUUUGUGUGCCUCCUUGUCUGUUUACUCCUCCUCCCGACCACUAACAGUUUUCCCAGUUUAUACAAGUUUUGAUAUAAACUGGCACAUUAAGGAGUUGCCCUCCCCACCUGGCGGGGGGGAAGGGCUGGAAUAUUCUUUGAAAAUGCCAAAUUGCAGAUGGUGCUCUUUGGAAGUUUCUCAUGGCACAUUCACACACAACACUUCAAUUGUAAUGACCCUAACACAUUUUUGUUCUGCACUGUCAUCUCAGUUUGAGGCUUCCAACUUUCAAAAUGGUAUCACUGUGUAUAGCAGGUAAGUGCGCACUGUCAUUUGGAUGGAACAGAAAGUCUCCAGAGACGGAACAUGAACACAAGAAGGUGAAAGCUGUAGUAUCUGUCCACUGGCUGAGAUUCUGUUGUUGGUGUGGAAAUUCCUUCACACAGAUGCAGGCUGGGUGACGAGCUGACAUGACAUGCCGAGUCAUCGGCACACACAAACACAACAGUUUCCGGGGUUCCUCCUGUUGCGGUGUGCUAUUGGUGAGUGGUAGUGGGCCCCCACUGGAGGACAGGCUCACGGUAGGUGGGGGCCACACGGUGCUCUUGUGAACGGAGACCUGUGGUUGGUUACUCACCCCGGUAAACCAAAGGCAUUACGGUGAUCUCAAAAUAUUUUUGGUCUCUCUACAAAUUGUCAUCUUUAUGGCAGCACUUUUCUAAGCUGGAAUCUCAAACCAAAGGCACUUUCAUGCUAGGGUGCAGAAGGUUCACAAAUAACUAAGUAUUUGGUCAUGAAUUUAAAAGGCAACUAGAAAAGGACAAUUUGCUUUUCAGAGUAAACUACAAAGUUGCAACCUUUAGUUUUGGUAUAUAUACAUUUUGAGAGGGUGGUUAGUCAAAGAAUUGACUUGGGUUCAGUUUCUGAUUUUAGAUCAAGUCAACCAUUUCUUGUAGACUGGGUAAAAAUGGGCUUCAAAACACAAAUAUGACAACAAUUUUGCUUGUCUUGUUUCUGGGAUUGGGCCAAUUAGUGAAUGGACACCAAGAGCAGGUGUGCGAAAGGCUGGCGGCAUGACUAAGGCACUGCUACUGGAACACUUUGGCAGCUCUGAAUUGAAAACUCCCUACAGAAGUAACGGUAGUAAGAGAAUGCUUCCAGCUUACAAAAGGGCCCAUAGUUCCCAGGCAGCCUUCUGCACUGCUUACCCUACACGCAACAUCUCUAAGAUUUAAGGCUUUUCAGAAAUGACACGUGCAGGACUUUGCCACAGAAACAGCAACAUACAGAAAUCAGCAAUGCAGACAUCCACCUGAUGUCACAGGAGUGAACGCCAACAAACAGAAUUACUUCUACCCUUCCUUAGGACAGGUGUAGUGUACCAGAGCAUAUACAAAAGUAGACAAAUUAUAUGUACCUGGUUUGUAGAAUUAACCAACUGUUAUCUCAUACAAUGGCAAUAAUUUAUGGUUGUACAAAAACAAUGGCCAAAGCCACCACAGUAUUGAAAUCCAAUGAAGACUUGGGUCUAAAAGUUGUUUGGGGACUUUUAACACCAAGUGCUUGGAACAGAGGGGCUGUUUUUGGCUGGUCUGAGGGCAGGAUUUUGCUGCUCUGAUGCUCAACAAAUAGAAAUUUGAUUCAGAGCCUGUGGCAUAUGAAUUGUCUUAAGCAGAAGCAAAAAGGCUCAUCAGUUUUCCCAGUGCUAUGGAGGCCUCAGAUGGGCACUCCCUGGUGAGAAGUAGCAUCAGGGCGAUGCUGGGCUUCUACAUCAAGGAUUCUCAAGCCUCCUCCCCGAUCUUCUGCACCAACCCUGUCACACAUUCUUACAGAUCAUUGAACAUAGAGCACCGAAGAAGAAUGGCCUCGACCAGAAGAGGUCAAGGAUCAAAGAGGUGGGAGCCCUGGACAAGGGCUCACCCUUAUUUUGUCACUAGCCAGUUGGGUGACUGGGCAUGUCAUCGCAUGCUCCUCCAGCCUCAACCUUCUUGCUCACAAAAUGAAGGGGAAUUGACUGCAUUGUCUUUUGCAUCAAAAACAAAGAAUUCUAGAAGCUCUCUUCUGGAACAUAUCCCUUCCCACUGAUGAAAAAAAAUCCUCCAGAGGUCUCAGUAAGUUCUACAAACACCAUGGGUUGUAAGGCAAAAAAGUAGAUGCAGCCUAGAAGAACCCAAUUGAAACAAUUAAAGGUUUGGAUAAUGAGAUCCAUGGGCUUAUUUUUUUUAACCCCAAUAAACUAAGAGCUGAAGGUCAAGUCAGAAAUGUUCAGAAAUGCUCUGUGGAAGAAAACUUUCAAACUAGGAAGAAACAGGAUACAAAUAUCACUUCAUGAAUUCUCCUACCUGCCUCCUGAUACCCGAAAAGAAAAGGAAAGAAAAGAAAGGCUCCCAGGAGAGAAAGUUUUGGAAAGCAAAAUGAAAGGGAAACUGUCACCAAUAAGCUAAUGUGACCCAUAAGGUCAACUGGUGUGACUAUACCCCAUGAACCAUUUGGUACAUACAAGCACAUGAUGAGUUGUGAAAAAUGGGGUACAGGCCAGGGACACUAAUAAAUCUUUUACAAAGUGUAAGGCAACCCCAUACAAUAAAGAAUGUCACUAGUGUUGAGGCUGAAGAAACCUGGUCUCAGGUAACCUGUGUAUUACAAACUCGGGUGCAUUCUGAAAAAGCCUCAGUUGACAGAGGACUUCUUCCUACAAUGGAAACCAAGGCCAACAGCUCCUCCGUUCUUCAAUUCCUCCCUAGGAAAGCAGGCCUUCAAACUGAGGAGCAAAAGCCCAGGAUGGCCAUGAAAACUAUGGUACUGGCAGAGAGCACUGAGACUAGUGGGGUUGGGGCUUGGCAUAAGCUUCCUUAUGGUGAAGGAAGCUUUGAAGAUAAGAAGAGAAGGAAGAGGAUCAGAAAGGGACUGAGAUUAGAUGUGAGAACACAAAAUCCACACAAGGGUCUACUUUGAGAGACACAAAGAGAAAAGCAAGCCCAAGACCUGGGGUAACUGGACC